rnacentral:pre_miRNA from 4 species
UCUUAUGGAUGAACAAGGAAAGUGGUUUCUUAUGAUGGAAUCUACUCCUAUGAAUAUGCUGUGAA